rnacentral:rRNA from 1 species
UGGGGAAUAUUGCGCAAUGGGGGGAACCCUGACGCAGCCAUGCCGCGUGAAUGAAGAAGGCCUUAGGGUUGUAAAGUUCUUUCGGUAUUGAGGAAGGUUGAUGUGUUAAUAGCACAUCAAAUUGACGUUAAAUACAGAAGAAGCACCGGCUAACUCCGUGCCAGCAGCCGCGGUAAUGCGGAGGGUGCGAGCGUUAAUCGGAAUAACUGGGCGUAAAGGGCACGCAGGCGGUUAUUUAAGUGAGGUGUGAAAGCCCCGGGCUUAACCUGGGAAUUGCAUUUCAGACUGGGUAACUAGAGUACUUUAGGGAGGGGUAGAAUUCCACGUGUAGCGGUGAAAUGCGUAGAGAUGUGGAGGAAUACCGAAGGCGAAGGCAGCCCCUUGGGAAUGUACUGACGCUCAUGUGCGAAAGCGUGGGGAGCAAACAGGAUUAGAUACCCUGGUAGUCCACGCUGUAAACGCUGUCGAUUUGGGGGUUGGGGUUUAACUCUGGCGCCCGUAGCUAACGUGAUAAAUCGACCGCCUGGGGAGUACGGCCGCAAGGUUA